GGUGGGAUGUGCCGAAUUGGUAAGGCACUGGUUUCGAAAACCAGCGGGCGUAAGCCUAUGCGAGUUCGAAUCUCGCUCCCACCG
rnacentral:tRNA from 1 species